rnacentral:rRNA from 1 species
GACGAACGCUGGCGGCGUGCUUAACACAUGCAAGUCGAACGAUGAAGCCUCUUCGGGGGUGGAUUAGUGGCGAACGGGUGAGUAACACGUGAGUAACCUGCCCUUCACUUCAGGAUAAGCCUUGGAAACGGGGUCUAAUACUGGAUAUGACUCAAGCUCGCAUGGGUUUGGGUGGAAAGAUUCUUUGGUGGGGGAUGGGCUCGCGGCCUAUCAGCUUGUUGGUGAGGUAGUGGCUUCCCAAGGCGACGACGGGUAGCCGGCCUGAGAGGGUGACCGGCCACACUGGGACUGAGACACGGCCCAGACUCCUACGGGAGGCAGCAGUGGGGAAUAUUGCACAAUGGGCGCAAGCCUGAUGCAGCGACGCCGCGUGAGGGAUGAAGGCCUUCGGGUUGUAAACCUCUUUCGUCAGGGAAGAAGCGAAAGUGACGGUACCUGAAGAAGAAGCACCGGCUAACUACGUGCCAGCCGCCGCCGUAA